AGAUUCAUAGGAAAACCACCAGAAUAUUCAAAAUAAACAUGGUUAAUGUCCAUUUUCUAUAACCAUGCGAUCGUACAGGCUAUAGUCAUGCAGUCACACGGUUAUAGCUUCGGUCGCCACUUGGCUACUGAAAAAGCAUAUGCGACCGCAAGCAUCGAAUACUUAUACCAUGUGAUUGCAUAAGCCACACAUAUGGCAUUAUCUUCCUUUCUCUCUUUUAGUUCAUCCACUCACGAUUUUGAACAACAAUCACUUCACUAAAUAAGAAAUCAUUAGAGGCUUAAAAUGUAUUUAUUUUUUAUUGAACUAAUUUCCUGGCCACAUUUGUAAGACAUCAAAUGCCCACCGCCAACGUGACGUUGCCAUCGAUCGAACAAUAACAUUCGGCACACCAAUAGCUGUAAAUCAAUGGUUUCACGAGCAAUAAAGACAACUUAUGUCCUAUUUCAUGCUGUCCAAGUUGCCAUGCCAAGAUACGGGUCAAAAAUUGUCAUUAUCCAAAUCAAAAUUUUACGAAAUUGUCAUCAUUACCUCUUCACUUCUUACUAGUAGAUCACAAAACUGAUUUGGGCAGCCACGUUCCAAUUAGAAUUUCACGAAAUCACAAAAUCAUCAUCACAUCCUCCUUUUAAUCCCCUUCCAUCCUUUUUCCCUCUUCCACACACCCAUACCCAACCACCGCACCAUCAUCGGAUCCACAACACCACAAUCACACGCCUAACAACACAACCGCACAC
rnacentral:lncRNA from 1 species